rnacentral:tRNA from 1 species
GGGAAUGUGGCUCAGUGGUAGAGUGCUUGUCUAGCAUGCAUGAAGAGCUGGGUUCCAUUCCUC